AUUCUAUCAGCAUCACUCAAGUCAGCAUGGUAUUCACGUAGAACACGAUCAACAUCAUCCAUGGCUAAAGUACGGACAUCAGCCAAUUUCUUGAUGCGAACGGUAAGUUCCUUGGCUUGGGCAUCAGUAAGAUGAAGGUUAAGCUGCUCAGCACGAGAUUUGAUGGCAUUCCAACCAGUCAAACGAGAGCCAACAUGAACAUAACGACUCAUGCCAAAGUCCUCGGGCUUAAGAAUUUCAUAUGUAGAAGGGUUAGCGAGAAUAGCUUUAGCAUGGAUACCAGCCUUAUGGGUAAAAGCACACAUUCCGGUAAUGUAAUUGUUGAAAGGAAUUUGAACU